GAUGAACGCUGGCGGCGUGCCUAAUACAUGCAAGUCGAGCGAACAGACGAGGAGCUUGCUCCUCUGACGUUAGCGGCGGACGGGUGAGUAACACGUGGAUAACCUACCUAUAAGACUGGGAUAACUUCGGGAAACCGGAGCUAAUACCGGAUAAUAUUUCGAACCGCAUGGUUCAAUAGUGAAAGACGGUUUUGCUGUCACUUAUAGAUGGAUCCGCGCCGCAUUAGCUAGUUGGUAAGGUAACGGCUUACCAAGGCAACGAUGCGUAGCCGACCUGAGAGGGUGAUCGGCCACACUGGAACUGAGACACGGUCCAGACUCCUACGGGAGGCAGCAGUAGGGAAUCUUCCGCAAUGGGCGAAAGCCUGACGGAGCAACGCCGCGUGAGUGAUGAAGGUCUUCGGAUCGUAAAACUCUGUUAUUAGGGAAGAACAAAUGUGUAAGUAACUAUGCACGUCUUGACGGUACCUAAUCAGAAAGCCACGGCUAACUACGUG
rnacentral:rRNA from 1 species